rnacentral:piRNA from 1 species
UUUCUUUUUGUUGUUGAUUUC